GAUGAACGCUGGCGGCGUGCCUAAUACAUGCAAGUCGAGCGAACGGACGAGAAGCUUGCUUUUCUGAUGUUAGCGGCGGACGGGUGAGUAACACGUGGAUAACCUACCUAUAAGACUGGGAUAACUUCGGGAAACCGGAGCUAAUACCGGAUAAUAUUUUGAACCGCAUGGUUCAAAAGUGAAAGACGGUCUUGCUGUCACUUAUAGAUGGAUCCGCGCUGCAUUAGCUAGUUGGUAAGGUAACGGCUUACCAAGGCAACGAUGCAUAGCCGACCUGAGAGGGUGAUCGGCCACACUGGAACUGAGACACGGUCCAGACUCCUACGGGAGGCAGCAGUAGGGAAUCUUCCGCAAUGGGCGAAAGCCUGACGGAGCAACGCCGCGUGAGUGAUGAAGGUCUUCGGAUCGUAAAACUCUGUUAUUAGGGAAGAACAUAUGUGUAAGUACUGUGCACAUCUUGACGGUACCUAAUCAGAAAGCCACGGCUAACUACGUG
rnacentral:rRNA from 1 species